rnacentral:tRNA from 1 species
GGAUAUAGUUUAAAGGUAGAACAACGGUCUCCAAAACCGUUGGUGUGGGUUCAAUUCCUACUAUCCC